ensembl:lncRNA
ACAGAAGGAAGAGACACCAUCCAAUGGAACAGAAGCAUUAAAUGCACAGAACUGUAUGCUACUAAUCAGACCUAAACUUUCUGACAGCACUAUCAAAAAAGUAUUUUUUUCCACCAGGAUCUCCUCCAGUUGCUGCUGUUUCUGUGUUGUUUGACUUCUGUUUCUUCUUGUUCCUGUUAACAUGUGUAGCAUCUCAGUAGUUUCCUGAAUUCGAAGCGUAACUAACAAGACUCAGGCAAUCAGAUGUUGCAGACACACGUCAUGUUUCCUUCAGACUGGGAUCAUUCAGUGCUGCCUGAAAUAGGAUAUGAGGAAAAUUCUUUGCCAGAGAUACCAGCUACUGUCAUCAAUACUGCCCAUCCAACACAGGCUACAGUGCCGUGUUCAUACUUUAAACUCUUGGAGAAAAGUCUACCUUGCCUUCCACCCAAACCUGGGUUUUCAAACAGACUUUGGAACAGCUGUGUAGCUGGUUGAAAAAACCAUUCCACCUUCGUCAUCUUCGAGAAGCACCGGAUUUACCCUGCCUGUGUCUUGGAGUAUACAUGCUCACCCCAGUAAGGAUCCUUCAAGAGAGUGAAGAUCAUCAGUGUCAUGUCAGUGUAGGAAAAGUAGACAAUGGUCUCCGAGCUGUUUCUGUCCUGUGGUUUGGCUGCUUUGAGUUCUGUGGCAAGAAAAGGCCUUUAGAUCGUUGGAAAUGCCUGAGAGCUGGUGGUGGCAUCCCAGCCGUCCAUGGGGAGAUACCAUGAGGAGGAGUCCUGCAACUUCUGUCAGCGGGAAAUCCCUCCCUGGGGGCUGUGGGAAAUCAGUGCGAACCCCAUAAUGAACACUGGGGAUGCGGUUUGCUUUGUUUCCCAAUCAAGUCACUGUCAGCACUUCUCACUCCAUUCUUCCACACUGAGUCGGCCCAUCCCACUGGUGACGCUAUACCUUGAACGUUGUCGUCCUCUCACCACAGGGAAACUUCCUACACUGCUGCAGAGCUUCCCUGGGUUUAGGUUGGAAGAACCAGAGGUUAUGGCAGCUACUGGAGCUAGAUCACCAUUGUGCCAUGACAUUCCCAUUGAGAAAGUCUGUAGUGAGCUGAAUAAUGGGAUGUGGCAGUGUCCCACUGGGGCUGCAGAGCAGGGCUUGCAACAGUGACUGGUGUGGCAAAGGGGCUAUGCGCGGCCAUCCCCUUCCCACCCUGUAGACUGAACUUGGUGGUGGCUGUUUGGGAUUGUGUUUUGAUGCCUGGCACUUCUCCAGGUGACUGGUAAGUGCCUAGUGACGUGUGUUCUGAUUGGGAUGGACAGAGAUUGUUCUAACAUCCCAACUUGCAGCUUACAUCUGUAGGAAAUCCCAUAAACAAACUCACCUCUGGAGUGAGCUGCUGCAUUUGGUUUAUUUCCACUUCCCUACUCUUUUGUGGGGAAUUGGAGGAUUUUACCAAAAGCUGCAGGUUUUCAUAAGCAAACUAGUAAUCUCAUCAGGAGCUUCAUGAAUUCAGUGGAUGUGGAUAUAGUUAGCUAUGGAUAGGCACAGGUCAACAAAACCAGAAGGUAAAAGAUGCACUGGAAGGGGUGACACAUCCAGUUAGCACUAAGACUUUUCUUUUAACUCUCUUUCUCUUUCUUUCUCAAAUCCAGAUCUGUUCUGGCUCCCUCAGACCACUAGUACUGCUAGGUGUUGUUGGGAUUUGCUGGGAUGUGUGUGCUUUUUGUUGAGUGUUUAUCAAAUCUCAUAUUCCUUAAUCCUGAAGUGUUCCUGUCUGUAUAGCGAAAUCUAUCUGAAUUAAUUCUACU